UACGUAGGUGGCAAGCGUUGUCCGGAUUUACUGGGCGUAAAGAGCGCGCAGGCGGCCGUUCAAGUCGCGUGUGAAAGCCCCCGGCUCAACUGGGGAGGGUCACGCGAUACUGAUCGACUCGAAGGCAGGAGAGGGUAGUGGAAUUCCCGGUGUAGUGGUGAAAUGCGUAGAUAUCGGGAGGAACACCAGUGGCGAAGGCGACUACCUGGCCUGUUUCUUGACGCUGAGGCGCGAAAGCGUGGGGAGCGAACAGG
rnacentral:rRNA from 1 species